CCGCGUGAGUGAAGAAGGUUUUCGGAUCGUAAAACUCUGUUGUUAGAGAAGAACAAGGACGUUAGUAACUGAACGUCCCCUGACGGUAUCUAACCAGAAAGCCACGGCUAACUACGUGCCAGCAGCCGCGGUAAUACGUAGGUGGCAAGCGUUGUCCGGAUUUAUUGGGCGUAAAGCGAGCGCAGGCGGUUUCUUAAGUCUGAUGUGAAAGCCCCCGGCUCAACCGGGGAGGGUCAUUGGAAACUGGGAGACUUGAGUGCAGAAGAGGAGAGUGGAAUUCCAUGUGUAGCGGUGAAAUGCGUAGAUAUAUGGAGGAACACCAGUGGCGAAGGCGGCUCUCUGGUCUGUAACUGACGCUGAGGCUCGAAAGCGUGGGGAGCAAACAGGAUUAGAUACCCUGGUAGUCCACGCCGUAAACGAUGAGUGCUAAGUGUUGGAGGGUUUCCGCCCUUCAGUGCUGCAGCAAACGCAUUAAGCACUCCGCCUGGGGAGUACG
rnacentral:rRNA from 2 species